GUGCUUGCUUUGGCAGCAUAUAUACUAAAAUUGGAAUGAUAGGGAGAAGAUUUGCAUGGUCCCUGCACAAGCAUGAUAUGCAAAUCUGUGAAGAGUUCCAUAUGUUU
rnacentral:snRNA from 1 species